GGGUGAGUAACGCGUGGGUAACCUGCCCUGUACUGGGGGACAACAGUUAGAAAUGACUGCUAAUACCGCAUAAGCCUACGGAGUCGCAUGGCUCAGUAGGAAAAAUUCCGGUAGUACAGGAUGGGCCCGCGUCUGAUUAGCUAGUUGGUGAGGUAAUGGCUCACCAAGGCGACGAUCAGUAGCCGGCUUGAGAGAGUGAACGGCCACACUGGGACUGAGACACGGCCCAG
rnacentral:rRNA from 1 species